AACGAACGCUGGCGGCAGGCCUAACACAUGCAAGUCGAACGAGGUAGCAAUACCUAGUGGCGCACGGGUGAGUAACACGUGGGAACGUACCCUUAGGUAUGGAAUAACAGCGGGAAACUGCUGCUAAUACCAUAUGAUGUCUUCGGACCAAAGAUUUAUCGCCUAAGGAUCGGCCCGCGUCUGAUUAGCUAGUUGGUGGGGUAAUGGCCUACCAAGGCUACGAUCAGUAGCUGGUCUGAGAGGACGACCAGCCACACUGGGACUGAGACACGGCCCAGACUCCUACGGGAGGCAGCAGUGGGGAAUAUUGGACAAUGGGGGAAACCCUGAUCCAGCCAUGCCGCGUGAGUGCUAAGGCCUUCGGGUUGUAAAACUCUUUAGCAGGGGAAGAUAAUGACGGUACCCUGAGAAUAAGCUCCGGCCAACUUCGUGCCAGCAGCCGCAGUAA
rnacentral:rRNA from 1 species